GAUGAACGCUGGCGGCGUGCCUAAUACAUGCAAGUCGAGCGAACAGACGAGGAGCUUGCUCCUCUGACGUUAGCGGCGGACGGGUGAGUAACACGUGGAUAACCUACCUAUAAGACUGGGAUAACUUCGGGAAACCGGAGCUAAUACCGGAUAAUAUAUUGAACCGCAUGGUUCAAUAGUGAAAGACGGUUUUGCUGUCACUUAUAGAUGGAUCCGCGCUGCAUUAGCUAGUUGGUAAGGUAACGGCUUACCAAGGCGACGAUGCGUAGCCGACCUGAGAGGGUGAUCGGCCACACUGGAACUGAGACACGGUCCAGACUCCUACGGGAGGCAGCAGUAGGGAAUCUUCCGCAAUGGGCGAAAGCCUGACGGAGCAACGCCGCGUGAGUGAUGAAGGUCUUCGGAUCGUAAAACCCUGUUAUUAGGGAAGAACAAAUGUGUAAGUAACUAUGCACGUCUUGACGGUACCUAAUCAGAAAGCCACGGCUAACUACGUG
rnacentral:rRNA from 1 species